UUUUCUUGUCAUUUUUUUCUGGAAUUCUGCUCCUCAUUUUGUACCACUCUUCUCUCCUGCUGUUUAUCCCCUUCUCCCCUCUAUUCCUUCUUUUCUGCCUCUUCUGCUCCAUCCUGGCCACUUAUUUAAGCUCUUGUUGCUCCUUCUCCCCAAUCUUUCUAUUGUCCUCAAUCUCCGCAUCUUUUUACCUCUUCUCCCCUCUCUGCGCCUCCUCUGCUCUCCCUGUUAAAUUCUCUCUUCCCUGUUAUACUCUUGUCCCCACUCUCUGGCUCCCCACAUCCCCAGGUGUCCUCCCUGCUGCGGCUCCCUCUGUUCUCCUUGCCACCAGCACCACUCCGCUCUGUCUGCCCCGGCUCCAAGUCCCUCCUCGUCUCCCUCACUCAUGAGCCUCCCUCUUUGCUGCCCCAUCCCUGCCUUGCUGUCCUUCAUCUCUCUGUACAUCACGCUUUUCUCUACAUUUCUCCAGUUGGUUUUCCCCUCCUGCUUUUUUUUUUCCCACUUUUGCUGUCUCAUGGCAAAUCCCUCACCCAUCCUCUACUUUGCCAUCUGUUACGUGUCUUUCUCAUUUUUCUUUUCUCUGUCUCAGGUUUUCUACUGCUCUCUAACUGUCUCCUGAUCCCUUUGGCCACACAAUCACAGGAGGGUUUGGAGAUAGUCGCCUACAUGCCGGAGAAGCACGUUCUCCAAGGGCUGGAGCUGGGCAGGCACGAACGCCUCCUGUCACAGGACAAGCCCUGGACACCUCCCCAACGCGGGCUCAGGGAAGCGGUGACUGCGGAGGGGAGACCUGGGGUGCAGCAGGGAUCGGUACGAGGAAGGAGCUGGGGGGCGACGGCGCCUUAAGACAAGGGUGGGGUCUGCAGGAUCCCAGGACGAGGCAGAGGAUGCGGCCUCCCCGGGAUUGGGACCGUGGCGCUGGGCUUCGAGGGGCGACGAAGUCGAGGGUGGGAGGUGCCCAAGGAGGAAAUCCACCUCUCGCGUGAGGCCUUCAAAAACCGCGGGGAGGGAGAAGUCAGAAAAAGGUUUUGAGCGGAAAAAUUAUGCAAUAAAAAGGGCACACAUUGCCCUAUGGUAGAAAGACCGGAGAGGGGACCAGCGGCAGGGCAACUUUAAAUCCAAAAGAGACACGGGAUUUCACCCUGUUAGCCAGAAUGGUCUCGAUCUCCUGACCUCAUGAUUUGCCUGCCUCAGCCUCCCAAAGUGCUAGGAUUACAAGCAUGAGCCACCAUGGCCAGGCUGGUCUGGAACUCCUUACCUCAAGCAAACCAUCCGCCUCAGACUCCCAAAGUGCUGAAAUUGCAGGCGUGAGCCACACCAGGCUUUUUUUUUUUUUAAAUAAACAGGGUGACCCCUGUGACCCAGGCAAAAAUACAGUGGAACAAUCACGGCUCAUUGCAACCUUCACCUCCCAGGCUCAAGUGAUUUUUUUUUUUUUUUGCCUCAGUCUCUUGAGUAGUUAAGAUUAGAGGUGCUUGCCAUGACACCCAGCUAAUUUUUGUUUUUAGUAGAGAUGGAGUUUCACCAUAUUGGACAGGCUCAUCUAGAACUCAAGUAAUCCACCCACCUUGGCUUUCCAAAAUCUUGGAAUUACAGGUAUUAGCCCCGCACCAGCCUAGUUUUUGUUUACAGGAAUAAGAAACAAGCCAAGUUGGGGGGCUUGCUCUGGUGAUUCCAGCACUUUAAGAAGCCAAGGCGGGAGGAUCAUGAGGUCAAGUAUUGAGACAAUCCUGGCCAACACAGUGAAACCAUGUCUCUACUAAAAGAACAAAAACUAACUGGGCGUUGUGGUACGCACCUGUAGUCUCAGCUACUCACAAGGCUGAUGUACAAGAAUCACUUGAAGCCAGGAGGCAGAGGUUGCAGUUAGCUGAGACCAUACCACUGCACUCCAGUCUGUCAGCAGAGUGAGACACCAUCUCAAGAAAAAAAUAUAUAUAUAAAAAUACAAAAAUUAGCAUGGCGUAGUGGCAUGCAUCUGUAAUUCCAGCUAUUCAAGAGGCUGAGGCACAAGAAUUGCUUAACUGCAAGGUAACAGACUGCAGAGACAAGACCACACCAUUGCACUUCAGCCUGGGUGACAAGAGAAAGAUUUCAUCACAACAAAAGGAAAAAAAAAAAAAAAAAAAAGGCUGCAUUAACUGCUGACCUCAAGUGAUCUGCCUUGGCUUCUCAAAGUGCUGGGAUUUCAGGUGUGAGUCACUGCUGGGCCCAGCCCAUUCUUUAACAUAAACACUUUUUAUGUCAAUUAAUGCUGGAACUCAAUUUUAAGUCAAAUCAAACUCAAGUCAAUAGUGAAUUGACUCCAAUGUCAAUUAAUGCUUAAUGGUUUGCUAUACUUAUUGCAUUUGGAGCAGUUAUAUCAAAAAAUGAAUAUUCUGAUGUUCUGCAAGGAGUGACUUUGGACUGAAGACCUUGCCACACUAUGACAUUUGUAAGAUUUCUGCCCAGUGUGGAUUUUCUGAUGUCUAAUGUGGUGUGAACAUGAAGUACAGGCUUUGCCACAAUCAUCACACUAGUGAGGUUUCCCUCCUGUAUGAAUUCUCCUGUGUUUCGCAUAAGAUGAAGCUUGAACUGAAGAUCUUGCCACAAUCAUGACAUUGGUAAGGUUUCUUUCCAGUAUGAGUUUCCUGAUGAACUGCCAGGUAUAAACAAUGAUGGUAAAACUUGUCACAUUUA